AUUGAACGCUGGCGGAAUGCUUUACACAUGCAAGUCGAACGGUAGAGGGGGCAACCCCUUGAGAGUGGCGAACGGGUGAGUAAUAUAUCGGAACGUGCCCAGUCGUGGGGGAUAACGUAGCGAAAGUUACGCUAAUACCGCAUACGAUCUAAGGAUGAAGCGGGGGAGUCGCAGGACCUCGCGCGAUUGGAGCGGCCGAUAUCAGAUUAGGUAGUUGGUGAGGUAAAGGCUCACCAAGCCAACGAUCUGUAGCUGGUCUGAGAGGACGACCAGCCACACUGGAACUGAGACACGGUCCAGACUCCUACGGGAGGCAGCAGUGGGGGAAUUUUGGACAAUGGACGCAAGUCUGAUCCAGCCAUCGCGUGCAGGA
rnacentral:rRNA from 1 species